rnacentral:lncRNA from 1 species
UUCCAUUCUUUACAAACAAAAAAAUCUAGUGCAGUCAAUUAAUAUAUGAAUCUAUGAGACCCUUGUCUCUGCAAGGCUCCUUGUCCACACUGAAUUGGAAAUUAUAGUUCCUUUUUCUGUCAGGGUUAGACAACGAGAGUGUGUGCUUAUCAUUUUACAUUUCUCUUUAUUUAUGAUGAUUUACACAAUGGACACUUAAAAAUCUUAUCCAAAAUACUGCAUUUGUAAUUCUAUCAACAAACAUUUUAAUUUCUGAACCUGGAGCAUGGAGGGACCAUGCUCAAAACUUUAGUCAUCUGAAUUCACUUAAAAAAACUUCUCAAACA